AUCUAAAAUGGCAGAAAUUGUAUAGGAUUUAAGCUCCUACAAAGAAGACGGGGACCCUUCUUUUAGA
rnacentral:tRNA from 1 species